ACGAACGCUGGCGGCGUGCUUAACACAUGCAAGUCGAACGGAAAGGCCCUGCUUUUGUGGGGUGCUCGAGUGGCGAACGGGUGAGUAACACGUGAGUAACCUGCCCUUGACUUUGGGAUAACUUCAGGAAACUGGGGCUAAUACCGGAUAGGAGCUCCUGCUGCAUGGUGGGGGUUGGAAAGUUUCGGCGGUUGGGGAUGGACUCGCGGCUUAUCAGCUUGUUGGUGGGGUAGUGGCUUACCAAGGCUUUGACGGGUAGCCGGCCUGAGAGGGUGACCGGCCACAUUGGGACUGAAAUACGGCCCAGACUCCUGCGGGAGGCAGCAGUGGGGAAUAUUGCACAAUGGGCGGAAGCCUGAUGCAGCAACGCCGCGUGCGGGAUGACGGCCUUCGGGUUGUAAACCGCUUUCGCCUGUGACGAAGCGUGAGUGACGGUAAUGGGUAAAGAAGCACCGGCUAACUACGUG
rnacentral:rRNA from 1 species